GCUGGGCCCAGUGGUGCCUGCCUGUAGUCCCAGCUAUUCAGGAGGCUGAGGCUGGAGGAUCUCUUGAGUCCAGGAUUUCUGGGCUAGAGUGUGCUGUGCCAGUCCGGUGACUGCAUUAAGUUCAGCAUCAAUAUGGUGACCUACCGGGAGCUGGGGGCCACCAGGUUGCCUAAGGAGGGGUGAACCGGCCCAGGUUGGAAAUGGAGCAGGUCAAAACUGCUGCGCUGAUCACGCCUGUGAAUAGCCACUGCACUCCAGCCUGGGCAACAUGGCCAGACCCUGUCUCA
rnacentral:SRP_RNA from 1 species